CCGUCGCCAAGUAUCGGAAUUAGGGUUCUUUCUCCGUUUCCUUUUUUUUUUUCCGUUUUUUCGUAGGAGAUUUGACCUUGGGUCGCUGCCAGAGAUCUGAUCCAUGGCCUCAGCGGAUCCGUCGAGAUUGGGAUGAUGCGAAAUGUUCAUGUUCGGCCAGGAGAAGUUGGAUUGUGAAAGAAUGGAUCAGCAUUGUCAGCUACCGCUUCCACAAGAAAACUAAACUGUCUGUGUUGGAGUAAAUGUUUGGCAUGGUGAAGCACCUAACCUCAUUGACUACAGAAUUCUUUGUUGAGUUUGGGCAUCACGUGUACAAAGGAUUGGAGAAUUCUGCAUACAAAUUAUAGUGAAAAUUUCUUAUUGCCUCUUGUGGAAAAGAAUUGUAGAAUAUGACCAAGGGAUGAUGAUAUUUAUGCUCCACUGCAAGAUUUAGCGAACAAUAUCAGUUUCCCUUACAUUCCAGGCAGAUCUGUAUCAGAGAUUGUGUUUUUUCUGUAUGGUGCUCAGAAGUUGGCAGCUGCAUGGAAAGCGUUUGGUUUGAGGAGAUCCAAUUGCAAGGCAACGCAAAAUCUGAUGUAAUUAAUGUGCUAUGAUGCUAGAUAUUUUGGGUAGUCUUUGUGCUAGGCUCAAUGGUUGCACACUGCCUUCGGGAAAGUAUAACCAAUAUGCAUAUUUUGCUUGGAGAUGGAAGUUAGAAACAGGUUAUUAGAGUUGUGCCUGGCUGAAGACCUGAAAUUUCCCAGGAGAGUUGGGGUUUGCUAGGUCAAUGAUGCCCUGUGCCUCUGAGAGUAGGCCAUUGUGCUUUACAGGACAGGCAUCUUGAUAAAUUGUUUGUAGCAAGAUCAUCAAUUUAUGUAUUAAAUUGAUUAAGUUUUCUGCCCUGUUGAUACCACCUGAAUCAAUAAAAUAGUUUGGGCAGGCUAUUGGUAAUGGAAAUCCUCUAUAAAUUGUAAAGAAUCAGAUGACAAGCAUGGUUUGCAGAGAGCUUGCACAUUUCAAAAUGUACAAGCGCUGUAUGAAUAAAGAAUUCAAACCCUCACAUAAUCUGAUUUCUACUAUUUUUUGAACAGAA